CUUCUCUGCACUACAUCAACCCCAGGCAGAGAUCCUCUCUUCUGAAACCCUCCUGCAGUGCUUUUGGCAAAGGUUUGGGCACAUGGUGGUACUGUGCGAGUGGUCCCCAAGCAGCAGCACUGCUGAAGCCUUGUUUUCUUGUGAGCUCCAGCUUGUGCCUGAGCUCCUGGGUGGAUGAGGCAUGCCAAGGAGGAACCCAGGUCACGGUCAAUACAGGCAGCCAUAGUCUCUCUUCCUCGUGCUAGAAAUGAUGAUUCCUGGGUUUGUUGCAGUUUCUGAUCUUUACAAGAUGAUUUCAAUCCAAGAUACCCAUUCCGAUUCCAGCUGUGGCACUGGAAAAUGAAAUACUUCCAUUGGUUUUAUUGGAGCGAGCCUAGAUUUUCACAAAAGCAACAAAAAUCAUGAUAUGAACAGAAGGAGCUCUCUCUAUUACUGGAAACCUUACAAUAUGAUGCCACCUUCAGGGUCAAGAGGACAUCUGUGGGCAUUUACAUUACAGCCAACAGCAAUGUGACUUUUAUGAUUCUGUCUAGUUCUUUGGAGGAACAGUAGCCCCUUGUAUGUGGCUUGAAGCUGUCCAUGGCUUUGGUUGAUGGUUGAUCUCUUGUGUCCCCCCAACAAGUGGGAAUACCCCUGGAGCUUCUAGGCUGGUGCCUCCAAAAGACAUCUGCUGCAAUUGCACCCAAACUGCACCACUGUGUGGGAAGCUGACAGCUGGGGAAAUUUCUUCAAAAAGCAUUACGACUGUGAGUGAAGGCCUUGGUGUUAACACAGGUAUGGAUAACCUUGAAAACAUUUACAAUGUCAUCUAGAAAAUAUUAUUAGCAUGACCUUAAGAUGUUUAAAUAGCUUGAGAACAAGACUGCACAUCAGAGACCUACUUUAUCUUUUUGGAUAUUCUCCUGGCAGCAAAGGGGUUUAUUUUUAAGAUUGUUUGGACCCUGGGUAACUACUGAAAGUAAUGGCUAUGUAUGGCAUAUAUGAAGUUGUCUAGCUACAUCAAAGUAAAAACUACUUGUGUUUGGUCUUCACAAGGUUUUUAGAUGGUAAGAUGGUAAACUUCAAUUGGAGAUAUAACUAGGAAAAAUAAAGCAUUUUUUAUAUUGGUGAUUUGGUCUGCAUAUUUUACAGUGCUCUAACAUAAGUUGUUUGCUAAUAAAAACAACCACUCAUACAGGUUUCACUUUAUCACCUUAAUGAUUCAGAUUGUAACUCAGAUUGUUAGGGGAAAAAACAAAUUAAGGUAGUUUCCCUGCCAGGACAAAUUCUGACUCAGCAAUAUAAGCUACAUUAAAUGCAGCUAUUCCACUGAUUUCACUUAAUCUCACCUAAGUUUCUCAUAUAUUUCUUAGCUGAGAUAAAGUAUUUCCACAAGAAAUGAAUUGGGUCGAUGUGAAACAAAUAGUCAUUAGUGAAGUUUAUCAGUCACUCUGUCACGGUUAAACCUAUGGAUUAAAAAGAGAAAAGGAGAUGGAGAAAGACUGAUCCUUAAUGUUGGUGCUUGUUUAUAAAAUUGAAAUAAGGGAGACUAACCUAAACUCAUGUCAGACGAAGGGUUUAUAUGAUCUCAUAAGAUAUACAAAUAUUACAAACUUAAAUUUAUUCAACUUGUGCAGUAAUAUUUUAUGUGCAGCCAAGUGGCAUUCAGUCAAAUCCAACAUGUUGUUGAUUACCAUGUUUUAAUCAUCUGCUGGAAAAUUGGUUGUAAGUAUUUCUGAGAUUUGGUACCACAACACUGAUCCUACCUUAUGGUUUAUACACAUUUCCAAAAAUAAUAAAGCUAUUGCAACUUUUUUUUUUUUUAAUUCAUACAACACUGGAAAGCUAAACAGGACAAUGCAGUAAUGAAUUAUGAGCACUCUGAAGUAGUUUUUGUAAAAAGCUAAAAAUAAGUCUUCAACUUCUGCCAAAAACUAAAUAAAUGAUCUUAAG